rnacentral:lncRNA from 1 species
AAGCCCGCCGGGCGAUUGCGCUCUCCUCCCAGCUACUGCUCGCUGGUCCCGCUGUUCUUAAAGGGCUCGCGCCGCCCCGCAGCCCGCAGGGGACAAGGGUGGCAAAGAGGAUAGCAUCGCCGGCGACGCGGGGGUCGGAGCGGGUGCAGCUGUGGACCAAGGAGUGGGGGGUUGGCGGCGAAGGGCCGACUUGGAGGUGGUGAGGAAAGGAGAACUGAAGUCACUCAGCGGGGACAGGUCCCUGGAUUACAGGCUAAACAAUGGCGUCCCUCGUCCACAGUGCCUCCCUUGCCCGCUGUGACAGUCUCAUCUUUGAACAGAACGAUUAUAAAGUCUAUUUGUCAAUGGAAGGACCCUCUGCUGGCCACUUGGGGAAAUGCAGCCCAGGACUGGGAAAGAAGGGUGAAACAAGACGGAGGCCGACACAGCCCUUCCCUGAGGCAGGCAGUGAAGACGGGCAGAGGCAACCGAGUCAGGGUGGUGGAGGGGUACCUACUAGGCAGAGUCACUGCUGUUUCCUUAAAAUAAAAUCUUUACUGUUUUAAAAUUAUAAGAAUAUAAGAUAUACAGCAAAAUCAAGCAAUAUCAAAGUGUAUUUUUUGAAGCAUAAUACUCUCUCCAUCUCUCUCCUGCUGUGUAGUGCCAUUUCCUUGCAAGAACAAAAAAACGAGGGGUUCUCCAAAGCUGCAGAAUGCCCAGGUUGUCUGCCCAAGAAUCUGUCUCUUUUUUCUCGAGAACUUAAACACUUCCCUCCUCCCAGUCUCAGCUGGCAGUGUUCCUUCUCCUAGAAUUUGAACUCCCACCACACCCCUCGCCUGCAUCCUUUGCAUGGAACCAGCCUCAGACCCGGCGUCCGCCCCGUUUUUCUCUGAGGCCUGUUGCCCUCCUCCUAACACAGGGCCCUCGCCACUGGAGGGUGGGACAGAAAGGUCACUGCUGGUAGGCAUUCAAAAUGCCUUAUUUCCCUUGGUCUCUUCUAUUCCAAAGGCCUCUGUCUCCACUCAUAGCCUACCUCCCUGUGGACAUACUCUGGACUCUGGAUAGCUCCAUUUAAAAAUGUCCCCUUUCUGACCACAACCGUUCCCUCCUGUCCUCUAAACUUCAGUUCCUCACUGGAACCUCCAGGGCUUUGAUUCUAACUACUACCUUCCAGUCUCCCAGGGCCUCUUGGUCCAGCCUGGACCUCCUGAUCCUUCUCCAGCUGCUUUAAUUACUCUGCUCCUUGGCCCCAGGCAAUCCAU